GGAGGGUGCAAGCGUUACUCGGAAUCACUGGGCGUAAAGGACGCGUAGGCGGGUUGUCAAGUCUGAUGUGAAAUCCUAUGGCUCAACCAUAGAACUGCAUUGGAGACUGGCAACCUAGAGUAUGGGAGGGGGAGAUGGAAUUAGUGGUGUAGGGGUAAAAUCCGUAGAUAUCACUAGGAAUACCCAAAGCGAAGGCGAUCUCCUGGAACAUAACUGACGCUAAGGCGUGAAAGCGUGGGGAGCAAACGGGAUUAGAUACCCCGGUAGUCCACGCCCUAAACGAUGAACACUAGUCGUCGCUCUGCUAGUCAGGGCGGUGAUGCACUUAACAGAUUAAGUGUUCCGCCUGGGGAGUACGGUCGCAAGAUUAAAACUCAAAGGAAUAGACGGGGACCCGCACAAGUGGUGGAGCAUGUGGUUUAAUUCGAAGAUACGCGAAGAACCUUACCUAGCCUUGACAUUGAAGAAAUAGACCAGAGAUGGACUAGUGCCCUUCGGGGAAUCUGAAAACAGGUGCUGCACGGCUGUCGUCAGCUCGUGUCGUGAGAUGUUGGGUUAAGUCCCGCAACGAGCGCAACCCUCGUCUUUAGUUGCCAGCAGGUUAAGCUGGGCACUCUAAAGAGACUGCCUUCGCAAGGAGGAGGAAGGUGAGGACGACGUCAAGUCAUCAUGGCCCUUAUGGCUAGGGCUACACACGUGCUACAAUGGGGCGUACAGAGAGUUGCGAUACCGCGAGGUGGAGCCAAUCUCAUAAAGCGUCUCUCAGUUCGGAUUGAAGUCUGCAACUCGACUUCAUGAAGCUGGAAUCACUAGUAAUCGUAGAUCAGCAAUGCUACGGUGAAUACGUUCCCGGGUCUU
rnacentral:rRNA from 1 species